rnacentral:rRNA from 1 species
UGGGGUGAUGGCCUACCAAGGCGACGACGGGUAGCCGGCUUGAGAGGGCGACCGGCCACACUGGGACUGAGACACGGCCCAGACUCCUACGGGAGGCAGCAGUGGGGAAUAUUGCACAAUGGGCGGAAGCCUGAUGCAGCGACGCCGCGUGAGGGAUGAAGGCCUUCGGGUUGUAAACCUCUUUCACCCAUGACGAAGCGCAAGUGACGGUAGUGGGAGAAGAAGCGCCGGCCAACUACGUGCCAGCAGCCGCGGUAAGACGUAGGGCGCGAGCGUUGUCCGGAUUUAUUGGGCGUAAAGAGCUCGUAGGCGGCUUGUUGCGUCGGCUGUGAAAACCCGUGGCUUAACUGCGGGCUUGCAGCCGAUACGGGCGGGCUAGAGUUCGGUAGGGGAGACUGGAAUUCCUGGUGUAGCGGUGAAAUGCGCAGAUAUCAGGAGGAACACCGGUGGCGAAGGCGGGUCUCUGGGCCGAUACUGACGCUGAGGAGCGAAAGCGUGGGGAGCGAACAGGAUUAGAUACCCUGGUAGUCCACGCUGUAAACGUUGGGCGCUAGGUGUGGGGGGCCUCUCCGGUUCUCUGUGCCGCAGCUAACGCAUUAAGCGCCCCGCCUGGGGAGUACGGCCGCAAGGCUAAAACUCAAAGGAAUUGACG